rnacentral:rRNA from 1 species
CGACCGCUGGCGGCGUGCUUACCACAUGCACGUCGACCGGCAAGGCCCUGCUUUUGUGGGGUGCUCGAGUGGCGAACGGGUGAGUAACACGUGAGUAACCUGCCCUUGACUUUGGGAUAACUUCAGGAAACUGGGGCUAAUACCGGAUAGGAGCUCCUGCUGCAUGGUGGGGGUUGGAAAGUUUCGGCGGUUGGGGAUGGACUCGCGGCUUAUCAGCUUGUUGGUGGGGUAGUGGCUUACCAAGGCUUUGACGGGUAGCCGGCCUGAGAGGGUGACCGGCCACAUUGGGACUGAGAUACGGCCCAGACUCCUACGGGAGGCAGCAGUGGGGAAUAUUGCACAAUGGGCGGAAGCCUGAUGCAGCAACGCCGCGUGCGGGAUGACGGCCUUCGGGUUGUAAACCGCUUUCGCCUGUGACGAAGCGUGAGUGACGGUAAUGGGUAAAGAAGCACCGGCUAACUACGUG